GAUCAUGGCUCAGGAUGAACGCUGGCGGCGUGCUUAACACAUGCAAGUCGAACGGACUUUACAUGAAGCCUAGCGAUUGUAGAGUUAGUGGCGGACGGGUGAGUAACGCGUGAAUAACCUGCCCUGUACCGGGGGACAACAGUUGGAAACGGCUGCUAAUACCGCAUAAGCGCACGGUUCCGCAUGGAACAGUGUGAAAAACUCCGGUGGUACAGGAUGGAUUCGCGUCUGAUUAGCCAGUUGGG
rnacentral:rRNA from 1 species